AUUGAACGCUGGCGGCAGGCCUAACACAUGCAAGUCGAACGAGUGGCGGACGGGUGAGUAAUGUCUGGGAAACUGCCUGAUGGAGGGGGAUAACUACUGGAAACGGUAGCUAAUACCGCAUACCAUCAGAUGUGCCCAGAUGGGAUUAGCUUGUUGGUGGGGUAAAGGCUCACGAAGGCGACGAUCCCUAGCUGGUCUGAGAGGAAGACCACACACACGGGAACUGAGAUACGUGCCAGACUCGUACGGGAGGCAGCAGUGGGGAAUAUGCCACAAUGGGCGCAAGCCUGAUGCAGCCAUGCCGCGUGUAUGAAGAAGGCCUUCGGGUUGUAAAGUACUUUCAGCGGGGAGGCGUUACCCGCAGAAGAAGCACCGGCUAACUCCGUGCCAGCAGCCGCGGUAAUUC
rnacentral:rRNA from 1 species